rnacentral:rRNA from 1 species
UCCUACGGGGGGCAGCAGUGAGGAAUAUUGGUCAAUGGGCGGGAGCCUGAACCAGCCAAGUCGCGUGAGGGAAGACGGUCCUAUGGAUUGUAAACCUCUUUAGGCGGGGAGCAAUGCCGGGCACGUGUGCCCGGAGGGAGAGUACCCGCAGAAUAAGCAUCGGCUAACUCCGUGCCAGCAGCCGCGGUAAUACGGAGGAUGCGAGCGUUAUCCGGAUUUAUUGGGUUUAAAGGGUGCGUAGGCGGAUUUCUAAGUCAGCGGUAAAAUGUCCGGGCUCAACCUGGGCCGGCCGUUGAAACUGGGGG